UGUAUAGCAAUAGCUACUUGCAUCAUUGUACAGAUGAUGCAAGAUCGACUAUGUUGAAUAAAAUUCUAGGUAGAAUUAUGAUAAUGACAUUGUCUGCCUAUGUGUCUUGACCAAAUUACGUGCCAGCAGUCGCGGUAAUACGUAGAAGACUAGUGUUAUUCAUGUUUAAUCGGUUUAAAGGGUACCUAGACGGUAGAUCAAGCUUUCAGAAAAGACCCUAGAUGAAAGGGAUGAAGAACAAUUAUAGAAAGGACUAAUUUACUAGAGUUACUUACGAGGGGGUAUUAAAGUACUGCUGGUGUAGAGAUGAAAUUCUGUCAUACCUCUUUUCGAAAGAAAAAUCAUGGCACAGGUAUAGGCGAAGGCAUCCCCUUAUGUGAUAACUGACGUUGAGGGACGAAGGCUUCGUGUAACAAACAGGAUUAGAUACCCUAGUAGUUGGAGCAGAAAAUGAUGAAUGUCAUAGAUUAGAUAUAUAAGUUUAUUCUAUAAAUGAAAGUGUAAGCAUUCCACCUCAAGAGUAAUUUGGCAACAUUGGAACUGAAAUCAUUAGACCGUUUCUGAAACCAGUAGUGAAGUAUGUUGUUUAAUUUGAUGAUCCGCAAAAAACCUUACCACAAUUUGAAUACUUAUAUUUUUUUUAUUGUUUUCUUCUUAAUUUUCUUCUAAUAACAUGUAUAAAUUACAAGAUAAAAGAAAUUAUUAAUAAAGAGGCAAUAAUAUAUAUUUACAAGCGUUGCACGGCUGUCUUCAGUUAAUGUCGCGAGACUUUGGUUAGUUCCAUUAAAUUAACGUAAACCCUUACUUUAUUUUUAGAUAGAGUAGUUCCCCGCU
rnacentral:rRNA from 1 species